rnacentral:rRNA from 1 species
GUAGGGAAUAUUGGACAAUGGGCGAGAGCCUGAUCCAGCCAUGCCGCGUGCAGGAAGAAGGCCUUCUGGGUCGUAAACUGCUUUUCUCUGGGGAUAAAAAGGCCAUGCGUGGCAAAUUGAAGGUACCAGAGGAAUAAGCCACGGCUAACUACGUGCCAGCAGCCGCGGUAAUACGUAGGUGGCAAGCGUUGUCCGGAUUUAUUGGGUUUAAAGGGUGCGUAGGCGGCCCCGUAAGUCAGUGGUGAAAUACGGCAGCUCAACUGUCGAGGUGCCAUUGAUACUGCGGGGCUUGAGUACAGACGAGGUAGGCGGAAUUGACGGUGUAGCGGUGAAAUGCUUAGAUAUCGUCAAGAACACCGAUAGCGAAGGCAGCUUACUAGGCUGUAACUGACGCUGAGGCACGAAAGUGCGGGGAUCAAACAGGAUUAGAAACCCGGGUAGUCC